UACGUAGGGUGCAAGCGUUAAUCGGAAUUACUGGGCGUAAAGCGUGCGCAGGCGGUUGUGUAAGUCAGAUGUGAAAUCCCCGGGCUCAACCUGGGAAUUGCAUUUGAGACUGCAUGGCUAGAGUGUGUCAGAGGGGGGUAGAAUUCCACGUGUAGCAGUGAAAUGCGUAGAUAUGUGGAGGAAUACCGAUGGCGAAGGCAGCCCCCUGGGAUAACACUGACGCUCAUGCACGAAAGCGUGGGGAGCAAACAGG
rnacentral:rRNA from 1 species